rnacentral:rRNA from 1 species
GAGCGNGGCUUACACNUGCAAGUCGAGGGGCAGCAUGGGUCUUAGCUUGCUAAGGCCGAUGGCGACCGGCGCACGGGUUGAGUAACACGAUAUCCAACCUGCCGUCUACUCUUGGACAGCCUUCUGAAAGGAAGAUUAAUACAAGAUGGCAUCAUGAGUCCGCAUGUUCACAUGAUUAAAGGUAUUCCGGUAGACGAUGGGGAUGCGUUCCAUUAGAUAGUAGGCGGGGUAACGGCCCACCUAGUCUUCGAUGGAUAGGGGUUCUGAGAGGAAGGUCCCCCACAUUGGAACUGAGACACGGUCCAAACUCCUACGGGAGGCAGCAGUGAGGAAUAUUGGUCAAUGGGCGAGAGCCUGAACCAGCCAAGUAGCGUGAAGGAUGACUGCCCUAUGGGUUGUAAACUUCUUUUAUAAAGGAAUAAAGUCGGGUAUGNAUACCCGUUUGCAUGUNCUUUAUGAAUAAGGAUCGGCUAACUCCGUGCCAGCAGCCGCGGUAAUACGGAGGAUCCGAGCGUUAUCCGGAUUUAUUGGGUUUAAAGGGAGCGUAGAUGGAUGUUUAAGUCAGUUGUGAAAGUUUGCNGGCUCAACCGUAAAAUUGCAGUUGAUACUGGAUAUCUUGAGUGCAGUUGAGGCAGGCGGAAUUCGUGGUGUAGCGGUGAAAUGCUUAGAUAUCACGAAGAACUCCGAUUGCGAAGGCAGCCUGCUAAGCUGCAACUGACAUUGAGGCUCGAAAGUGUGGGUAUCAAACAGGAUUAGAUACCCUGGUAGUCCACACGGUAAACGAUGAAUACUCGCUGUUUGCGAUAUACGGCAAGCGGCCAAGCGAAAAGCGUUUAAGUAUUCCACCUGGGGAGUACGCCGGCAACGGUGAAACUCAAAGGAAUUGACGGGGGCCCGGCACAAGCGGAGGAACAUGUGGUUUAAUUCGAUGAUACGCGAGGAACCUUACCCGGGCUUAAAUUGCAGAUGAAUUACGGUGAAAGCCGUAAGCCGCAAGGCAUCUGUGAAGGUGCUGCAUGGUUGUCGUCACCUCCUGCCGUGAGGUGUCGGCUUAAGUGCCAUAACGAGCGCAACCCUUGUUGUCAGUUACUAACAGGUUCCGCUGAGGACUCUGACAAGACUGCCAUCGUAAGAUGUGAGGAAGGUGGGGAUGACGUCAAAUCAGCACGGCCCUUACGUCCGGGGCUACACACGUGUUACAAUGGGGGGUACAGAGGGCCGCUACCACGCGAGUGGAUGCCAAUCCCAAAAACCUCUCUCAGUUCGGAACUGGAGUCUGCAACCCGACUCCACGAAGCUGGAUUCGCUAGUAAUCGCGCAUCAGCCAGCGGCGCGGUGAAUACGUUACCCGGGCCUUGUACCAGCANCCGCCCCGUCAACGUCCAUGGGAUGCCGGGGGUACCCUGAAUGUGCGUAACCCGCGANGAGCGCCCUAAGGNANUUGNC